rnacentral:rRNA from 1 species
GGCCGCGGGAAUUCGAUUCAGGCCUAACACAUGCAAGUCGAACGAUGAAGCUGGAGCUUGCUCCGGUGGAUUAGUGGCGAACGGGUGAGUAACACGUGAGCAAUCUGCCCUUGACUCUGGGAUAACUGCGGGAAACUGUAGCUAAUACCGGAUACGAGACUGAGAGGCAUCUUUCAGUCUGGAAAGAAUUUCGGUCAAGGAUGAGCUCGCGGCCUAUCAGCUAGUUGGUGAGGUAAUGGCUCACCAAGGCGACGACGGGUAGCCGGCCUGAGAGGGUGACCGGCCACACUGGAACUGAGACACGGUCCAGACUCCUACGGGAGGCAGCAGUGGGGAAUAUUGCACAAUAGGGGAAAGCCUGAUGCAGCAACGCCGCGUGAGGGAUGUAUAUCGUUCGGGUUGUAAACCUCUUUAGCAGGGAAGAAGCGAAA